rnacentral:rRNA from 1 species
CUAAUCAUGCAAGUCGAACGGUAAGCUUUGUAGCAAUAUGAAGCCUAGAGUGACGUAAGGGUGCGUAACACGUAUGCAAUCUACCCUCAACAGGAGUAUAGCUCGGGGAAACUCGGAUUAACACUCCAUAAUAUUACGAAGUGGCAUCACUUUGUGAUUAAAACUGCGGUGGUUGAGGAUGAGCAUGCGUCUGAUUAGUUAGUUGGUGAGGUAACGGCUCACCAAGACGAUGAUCAGUAGGGGAACUGAGAGGUUGAUCCCCCACACUGGCACUGAGAUACGGGCCAGACUCCUACGGGAGGCAGCAGUAGGGAAUAUUGGUCAAUGGGUGAGAGCCUGAACCAGCCAUGCCGCGUGCAGGAAGACGGCCUUCUGGGUUGUAAACUGCUUUUAUCUGGGGAUAAAAAGCCCAUGCGUGGGACAUUGAAGGUACCAGAUGAAUAAGCACCGGCUAACUACGUGCCAGCAGCCGCGGUAAUACGUAGGGUGCAAGCGUUGUCCGGAUUUAUUGGGUUUAAAGGGUGCGUAGGCGGUCUAUUAAGUCAGUGGUGAAAUCCAACAGCUCAACUGUUGAUGUGCCAAUGAUACUGAUGGACUUGAGUACAGACGAGGUAGGCGGAAUUGACAGUGUAGCGGUGAAAUGCAUAGAUAUUGUCAAGAACACCGAUAGCGAAGGCAGCUUGCUAGCCUGUAACUGACGCCGAGGCACGAAAGUAUGGGGAUCAAACAGGAUUAGAUACCCUGGUAGUCCAUACAGUAAACGAUGAUUACUCGAUGUUGGCGAUACACAGUCAGCGUCUUAGCGAAAGCGAUAAGUAAUCCACCUGGGGAGUACGCCGGCAACGGUGAAACUCAAAGGAAUUGACGGGGGUCCGCACAAGC